AGAAAACACAAAACAUUCUCUAAAGCAAUCAGCCUUCUUACUCUCAGGUUAAAUUGGCCUUACUUAGCAAUUCUAAGAAACACUUUUCUUUCCCUAUCCUCCAACCCCCUUCUCUAAGACUUCUGUUGCAACCUAAAAGCCUAACAUGCAAAUAUUAUAUAUUUAAAAAUGCAGGGAAUGUGGCUUAUGGUAGAGUGCUAGACUUGAGCAACAGAAACUCAAGGACAGCACCCAGGCCCUGAGUUCAAGCCCCAAAACCAGGACCAAAAAAAAAAGGAAAAUUGAGAUACCAUUUAUCUUCCAUAUUUUUCAUGGCAAUAUACCCUUAUGACAAGUAUGUAAAACAUAAGCACCCCCUUGUAGAUUACUGGUGAAAACCCACACUAUGAGUUUGACUGUGUAGCAAAUUACAUAUGCAUUUACCAUUUGACCCACAAAUUUAUUCUGGAGAUAUUCAAGCAA